rnacentral:rRNA from 1 species
GGGGAAUAUUGCGCAAUGGGGAAACCCCGGCCGCAGCAAUACCGCGGGGGUGAAGAGGGUUUUGGAAUCGUAAGGCUCUGUUAUGGGGGAGGAAAAAAGGACGGUACCCAAGAAAAAGGUCCCGCCUACUAACUGCCCAGCAGCCGCGGUAAUACGUAGGGGACAAGCGUUGUCCGGAUUUACUGGGCGUAAAGGGCACGCAGGCGGUUUUUUAAGUCAGAUGUGAAAGGUACCGGCUCAACCGGUGACAUGCAUUUGAAACUGAAAGACUUGAGUAUUGGAGAGGCAAGUGGAAUUCCUAGUGUAGCGGUGAAAUGCGUAGAUAUUAGGAGGAACACCGGUGGCGAAGGCGGCUUGCUGGACAAAUACUGACGCUGAGGUGCGAAAGCGUGGGGAGCAAACA